ensembl:lncRNA
GUUGGUGUUUGCUGUUGUUUUUGCUAAACUUAAAACCUCUGUAUAAAAGGUAGAUGCAAGCAUUUUCAAAGCAACUUACUUCCAUUUUGUAAUAGCCUAUGAGAUCAGUCUUGAACAAACAGAGGAAGGGAGGUUCUGAAUUAAAAAGCAUUUUUACAGCAUCCAGUAAUGCAAUGGCUGGACGACCACGAUGUGUCAGAUUAACUGGGUGGACACACUGGAUAUUAUCAACAAUUCUGCUGCUGUGGAGUUACCAGAUCAGUGGACAAGGACAAGGUAGGCAUUUUGCCAUAAAAAUGGCUAAGGUUGUCUUGUUGGAUACCCUUUGCUGCUUAUUUGCUGAGUUGUGUCCUGUGGAAGAUGACAAGAAAACUGAAGUGACUGUAUUAGCGAAGCUGUUUGGCAGAUAUUAUAAUUCAUUGACAACAUUCACACUUUGAGAUCAGAUUUUGCACUUUGAUAUUUAUUAUUAUUAGUGUUAUUUUGUUUAGCUUUGUAUUUUUAAAUGGCUUUUUAAGGUAACUGCAACAUACAUGUAUAACAAGGGGGAUAUACUUACAAUUCCUGCAAGACAGCAGAAGGCAGAAAGACUUGCUGAUGAUACUACAGUGGUUUACAUCCUACUUUUUUUAAGAAAUAGAUUGAUACCCUUCAAGGAACUUUAUUUUUCUUGUUGGGGGUGAAUUGGAACACAGACAAGCUUCUGGCUUUUGUGAAUUUUAGCACCAUCCAGGAAAAUACACCAAGCUGUAGGGAACUAGGUGCCCCCAGUAAAUACAAAAUAACAAUUAGUAUUAAAGUUCUAGCAAUUAUUAUUUUCACUUGUGAGCGGGCAAAUGAAAUGGCAGUUGUAAAAUAUUUAUAUAUAUAAAUAUAUUUAAUUUUCAGUCUUUAGCAGUAUUACUGAGGAUCUAGAAAUUUUUUCCUGCCAGCCCCUCUGUCUGCACGUGACUUGCUGGUGUUGGUGGUGUUCCUGGGGUACAGAAAGCUCACUCGUGAGGGGUUAAUCAAGGUUUGAAAAAUGUCUUACUCAUGAAUGUGUAACCUCAAGCAGGCCCGCAAACUGGAGCAGAACCAUAAGUUAGCUUCUUGUGUCUUAUGGAUACAACACUGAGGAUGCCUUAACUGUAAAAGACCUAUUGUGCUGGAAGGAGUCUGUUCAGGUAUCUGCUGUGAGACACUGUGAUAGGGAUGUACCAGCUGAGGUAGCAGAUGACAAAGUGUAAGUGCUAAAAGUAAAUGGAUGGUAGCAUGAGGGUUCAUGCUGCAGUGAACGAGGCUUGUGAAGCUCAGAGAUGUCACAGAGGGAUGGGUUAUUUCUGGAUGUGGCCCCAGGAGCAUUCCACCAGAUUGGGAAGGUCAUCGCUGGAGGCUUAGCAGCCUCAGAGCCCAAUCCAUGGCAGAUGCUUAGGAAGAGGCCCUCAGUACUUGAGAUGGGGCAGAAAUUACUUUGGUGGGAAAUCUGUGUAGCUCUGCAAUACUCCACUUGCUGCAGGCUGGGAGGGAAGUAGGUACUGAGGCAAUCGGAGUUUCUGCUCUUUGAUACAUCUCAAGUUUAUUUGUUGGUUUCUCACUGAGAUCCAGUGAAGUUAGACAUAUUAUUUUAAAGGCCCUUUUAGGUACUUGAAUCUCUUUGACUCUUCCCUGGAAGGAACUAAAAGUGAUCUCACAUGAGCUUUCAUCAAGGUGCAUGUCAUUGCCCACAGGAAUAAGGGUCUGUUUCUAAAACACCUUCUUAAGUGUCCCUAGCUGAGCAAAUGCUUUUGGUCCAUCGUGGAGCAAAGGUCAACAGCUGAGCGUAGGGAUUUAAACUGGCCUGUGUGACUUUGCCAUAAGGUGGAGUAGAAGCACUCAGGCUGUCAAGGGUAGAUGAGAUGCAGAUGAGGAAACUUUCUUCACUGCUUCUCCUAGUCUUCAGCAUAUCCCUCCCUGUGAGCGUAGCUGUCAGAAGCACAUGCUAAUCCAGCACUUUCAUUUACAUAUCCAGCAUGCUAGCCAAACAUUUGAAGUUCAGAGGUCGGGAACUUAAAUAUGGCUCAUCUGUCCAGAACAACUGGGCUGAUAUAUAAAAAUAACUUGGAGGAAAGAGAACAAAAGGUAUGAACAGCUUGUUAAUUAAGACUGAUAUUUGUACUGUAUUGAUGAGAAUGAUGAAGUUGACUUCACCUGAAAUGUUAAUGUGAAGCAAAACUUGAUCAAAGUUACCAAAUAUAAAUCCUGUAUUUUGUUAAUCACUUUUUGUUGUAUACUUUAGGGUUAUUUUUAGCAACUUAAGUACCUCUGAAAAAGUAAGCGUGAUUGAGCAUCAGCCAAUGUUAACUGUUGCUGGAAGAGAUGAUGCAACAGGUUAUGAAGGAAUGGCUGCUCUUUGUUUCCUUUUACAAUAAAGAAACUAUUUAAAAGAAAGCUGUACCA